CGCAGAGCUGCUAUGUAUUUUGGGGAAGGCAUGUUGGAAUCUUUACGAUCGCGUGCUGAGAGUAAGCAUCACGUUGCAAAAAACUGCAGUUAGUGUAGGAAAUAGUGCAGUGUGUACAUCAAAACUGCAAUCCGGAAUCGCUAGCGGUUUGAGCUUGCAUUCUUUACACGUAAAUUAAUUGACAAAUGCCUUGUGAAUGAAGAGAAUAACCAGCUGCAGCUAAGUUGCACGUAGUGUUAAAAAAUGCACCCUCCUUGGCAUUCCCUUUUACAGAGAAUGCAUGUUCGCGUAAGGCAGAUGAAUUAUGAUUGUGCGCCGAGUGCAUGUGACAGGGAGUGCUACACUAGCUGUAGGGCUGUGAAUGAUCAGUUGAUAAGUUUAUGAACAGUUUAUAAUCUGUUUGCAGCACCUUGCUGAGAAAUUCCUUGGGCCCUUUGGAACACUGCUAGUUUUGGCUCAAUGAAAAAAAGAAGAAAACAUCAUUACACCUCAGGUUGACAGGCUGGCCCCUAAUUAAUGUGGAUCAGUGACCGGAGCUGGGAUGCUGCCGCGUACUGCUGCUCGGCUCAGUGUGGACAAGUACUGCAAUAAGGACAGUAUCUGUCUUUGUGGACUUUUUCUGAAGGCGUUUAGUACACAUAAUUUCUCAUUCUGCUUGACAAGAAACUGUUGUGCAACAUAACCUUUGCUAACAUUUGAAAAUGUAAAAUGAAUCCAUGAAUUGCCAGAGCAAACCUGCUCCCAUGGAGACUUCAUAUUUACUUUGAAUAAAGAAAUCGCAAAUACA